UACGGAGGGGGCGAGCGUUAUUCGGAAUUAUUGGGCGUAAAGGGCGCGUAGGCGGCCCUGUAAGUCAAAGGUGAAAUCCCUCGGCUCAACUGAGGAACUGCCUUUGAAACUGCAGGGCUUGAGGCCGGGAGGGGGUAGCGGAAUUCCCAAUGUAGCGGUGAAAUGCGUAGAUAUUGGGAGGAACACCAGUGGCGAAGGCGAGUCCCUGGACACUUCCUGACACUGAGGCACGAAAGCUAGGGGAGCAAACAGG
rnacentral:rRNA from 1 species